CAGUCGCCGCGGUAAUACGUAGGGUGCAAGCGUUAAUCGGAAUUACUGGGCGUAAAGCGUGCGCAGGCGGUCCGCUAAGACAGAUGUGAAAUCCCCGGGCUUAACCUGGGAACUGCAUUUGUGACUGGCGGGCUAGAGUAUGGCAGAGGGGGGUAGAAUUCCACGUGUAGCAGUGAAAUGCGUAGAGAUGUGGAGGAAUACCGAUGGCGAAGGCGGCCCCCUGGGCCAAUACUGACGCUCAUGCACGAAAGCGUGGGGAGCAAACAGGAUUAGAUACCCCUGUAGUCCCUGUCUCUUAUAC
rnacentral:rRNA from 1 species